GCACCCGUAGCUCAGCUGGAUAGAGCGCUGCCCUCCGAAGGCAGAGGUCACAAGUUCGAAUCUUGUCGGGUGCG
rfam:Alpha proteobacterium BAL199 1103548001536, whole genome shotgun sequence.